GGACUUUUACUUUGAAAAAAUUAGAGUGUUCAAAGCAGGCCUACGCCCGAAUACAUUAGCAUGGAAUAAUAGAAUAGGACGCGCGUUCCCAUUUUGUUGGUUUCUGAGAUCGCCGUAAUGAUUAAUAGGGAUAGUCGGGGGCAUCAGUAUUCAAUCGUCAGAGGUGAAAUUCUUGGAUUGAUUGAAGACUAACUACUGCGAAAGCAUUUGCCAAG
rnacentral:rRNA from 1 species